rnacentral:miRNA from 1 species
AAUAACUUCAUUGACCGGAAGGAAUCCCAUCCGGUCAAUGGUGAUGAGGUGUCACAACCUCAUCAACCGGAAGGGAUUCCUUCCAGUCAAUAGUGUUGUU